rnacentral:rRNA from 1 species
UACGGAGGGUGCGAGCGUUAAUCGGAAUUACUGGGCGUAAAGCGUGCGUAGGCGGCCCGUUAAGCCAGAUGUGAAAGCCCCGGGCUCAACCUGGGAACGGCAUUUGGUACUGGUGGGCUGGAGUUGGGUAGAGGGGGGCGGAAUUCCGGGUGUAGCGGUGAAAUGCGUAGAUAUCCGGAGGAACACCCGUGGCGAAGGCGGCCCCCUGGACCCGAACUGACGCUGAGGCACGAAAGCGUGGGUAGCAAACAGG